CCCUUAGAUGUUCUGGGCCGCACACGCGCUACACUGAAGGAGGCAGCGUGUACUCCUGGAUCGAAAGAUUUGGGUAACCCGCGAAUCUCCUUCGUGAUGGGGAUAGAUUAUUGCAAUUAUCCUUCAUGAACGAGGAAUUCCCAGUAAGUGCAAGUCAUAAGCUUGCGCUGACUACGUCCCUGCCCUUUGUACACACCGCCCGUCGCUACUACCGAUUGAAUGAUUUAGUGAGGACUUCGGACUGGGACCGAUGCGGCUUUCGGGCUGCGUCGGUAUUCUGGAAAGAUGUCCAAACUGUAUCAUUUAGAGGAAGUAAAANUCGUANCA
rnacentral:rRNA from 1 species